GGGAGGAGCACGGGGAGAGGAGAAGCUGGCGGGGGAAAAUGGGGAAGAAGCGCCAGGAAGCAGCACGAGGGACUGGAAGGAGCGCGGGGGACCGGGAGGAGUGCAAGGCAUGGGGAGAGUAGAAGCCCCUGAACUUGGUCCUCGUCGUGUCGGGUACAGGACUUCCCAGCAAAAAACAUCUGCUGCUGGAGGAGCAACUUGGUGCCGGAGGUUCCUGCUGGGAAUUCGAGCCCAAAUCACUCUGCGUUCGAGGUCUUGGGAAGCUGCUACCAAGGCCAGAGUAAAUCUCUGGGCUCAAUUUUGGAUUUACAAUUUAUUCAGGAUCUGCUGUGCACCCUAGACUGGUCUCAAGAUCCUCCUGACUUCCGCUCCCAAGAUUUCAGCUGUGCACCACCAUGCCUUGCCAAAUUUGUGCUCUUAUUUCGUGUGUGCAUGUGUAGAUAUGUUUGUGUGUGUACAAGUGUUGGGGGGAAGAGGUGUUGUGUGUAUCUAUAUGGAGUCCAGAAAACAUCAGCUAGCUUCCUCUGUUGUUCUCCGUCAUACUGUGCAUGUGUGUCUGUUGUAUGCACAUGUAUGUGUAUGGCAUGUACGCAGUAAGGUGUCUGUCACAGAUCCUAUUCUGUCACUCCCAUGCCCUUCAGACAGGGACUCUCACUGAUUUUAGAGCUAGACCGUUGGCCAGCAAUCCCAAUGAUCCUCCUGCCUAUGACCCCCACAGUGCUAGGACUACAAGUUUCUGCCCCAGAUUUUUACACAGGUGCCGAGAAUUACAACUCUGGUCUUCGUGCUUAUGCAGUACUCUUAUCCAGGGAGCCUCCCCACCUUGGUGUUUGAGACAGGGUCUCUUAUGGUACCCGUAGCUCACCAACUCUGCUCUACUGGGGGUGGGCAGCAAGCCUCAGUGGUCCUUCUGUUUCUGCCUCCUGUGCACUUGGAUUAUAUCCACGUACACCCAUGCAGUUUCUGAUUUGGUGCUAGGAACCCAAACUCCAGUCUUUGUGCUUGCCCGGCAGUCCUUUACCAAAGGAGCCGUCACCCUAACACUUAUAUUUUUGUUUUCAGUCAACAAUAAUUUUAAGUAUUUCUGGGGCACAGUGUAAUAAUUUGAUACAUGUACUGAAUUUUCAGUGAUUAUAUCCAGCUUAUUCAUUAGCUAACAUACAUUUUGUGGAGAGAACAUUUAAAAUCUAUGCUUUCCAAAAUCUGGAAACAUAUACACUAUUAUUAGCUAUGUCUCCAUGGUAACAAUAUAUGGCAUACAGAAAACUUA